rnacentral:snoRNA from 1 species
CCCCUCUCAGGGUCACACCUGGAGAGUUCCCAGUACUCCACCAGUCUUGGCUAAAGGAGGGAGAGUCAGAGAGAGGCAUAUCCAUUCCAUUCCUAGCUUGGGCAGUGGCUAGAGAGUGGAAGGCAUUCUGCUACAUGU